rnacentral:rRNA from 1 species
GUAGGUGGCAAGCGUUGUCCGGAAUUAUUGGGCGUAAAGCGCGCGCAGGCGGUUCUUUAAGUCUGAUGUGAAAGCCCACGGCUCAACCGUGGAGGGUCAUUGGAAACUGGAGAACUUGAGUACAGAAGAGGAAAGCGGAAUUCCACGUGUAGCGGUGAAAUGCGUAGAGAUGUGGAGGAACACCAGUGGCGAAGGCGGCUUUCUGGUCUGUAACUGACGCUGAGGCGCGAAAGCGUGGGGAGCAAACAGGAUUAGAUACCCUGGUAGUCCACGCCGUAAACGAUGAGUGCUAAGUGUUAGGGGGUUUCCGCCCCCCUUAGUGCUGCAGCUAACGCAUUAAGCACUCCGCCUGGGAGCACGGCCGCAAGGCUG